AUUGAACGCUGGCGGAAUGCUUUACACAUGCAAGUCGAACGGUAGAGGGGGCAACCCCUCGAGAGUGGCGAACGGGUGCGUAAUAUAUCGGAACGUGCCCAGUCGUGGGGGAUAACGUAGCGACAGUUACGCUAAUACCGCAUACGAUCUAAGGAUGAACGCGGGGGAUCGCAAGACCCCGCGCGAUUCGAGCGGCCGAUAUCAGAUUAGGUAGUGGGGGGGGUAAAGGUUCACCAAGCCAACGAUCUGUAGCUGGUCUGAGAGGACGACCAGCCACACUGGAACUGAGACACGGUCCAGACUCCUACGGGAGGCAGCAGUGGGGAAUUUUGGACAAUGGACGCAAGUCUGAUCCAGCCAUUCCGCGUGCAGGAUGAAGGCCCUCGGGUUGUAAACUGCUUUUGUACGGAACGAAAAGGUCUCUCUUAAUACGGGGGGCUCAUGACGGUACCGUAAGAAUAAGCACCGGCUAACUACGUGCCAGCCGCCGCCGUAA
rnacentral:rRNA from 1 species